UUGAACGCUGGCGGUAUGCUUAACACAUGCAAGUCGAACGGUAGCAGCUCUUCGGAGGCUGACGAGUGGCGGACGGGUGCGUAACGCGUAGGAAUCUGCCUAUUAGUGGGGGACAACUUAGGGAAACUUAAGCUAAUACCGCAUACGCCCUACGGGGGAAAGGAGGGGAUCUUCGGACCUUUCGCUAAUAGAUGAGCCUGCGUAGGAUUAGCUAGUUGGUGGGGUAAAGGCUCACCAAGGCGACGAUCCUUAGCUGUUCUGAGAGGAAGAUCAGCCACACUGGAACUGAGACACGGUCCAGACUCCUACGGGAGGCAGCAGUGGGGAAUAUUGGACAAUGGGCGAAAGCCUGAUCCAGCAAUACCGCGUGUGUGAAGAAGGCCUUAGGGUUGUAAAGCACUUUCAAUUGGGAGGAAAACUUCAUGGCUAAUAUCCAUGAGCUUGACAUUACCUUUAGAAGAAGCACCGGCUAACUCCGU
rnacentral:rRNA from 1 species